AGUGAACGCUGGCGGUAGGCCUAACACAUGCCAGUCGAACGGCAGCACAGUAAGAGCUUGCUCUUACGGGUGGCGAGUGGCGGACGGGUGAGGAAUACAUCGGAAUCUACUUUUUCGUGGGGGAUAACGUAGGGAAACUUACGCUAAUACCGCAUACGACCUACGGGUGAAAGCAGGGGAUCUUCGGACCUUGCGCGAUUGAAUGAGCCGAUGUCGGAUUAGCUAGUUGGCGGGGUAAAGGCCCACCAAGGCGACGAUCCGUAGCUGGUCUGAGAGGAUGAUCAGCCACACUGGAACAGAGACACGGUCCAGACUCCUACGGGAGGCAGCAGUGGGGAAUAUUGGACAAUGGGCGCAAGCCUGAUCCAGCCAUACCGCGUGGGUGAAGAAGGCCUUCGGGUUGUAAAGCCCUUUUGUUGGGAAAGAAAAGCAGCAGGUUAAUACCCCGCUGUUCUGACGGUACCCAAAGAAUAAGCACCGGCUAACUUCGUG
rnacentral:rRNA from 1 species